rnacentral:rRNA from 1 species
GGCGGCGUGCUUAACACAUGCAAGUCGAACGGAGGAGUUUAUUCGGUAGAUCCUAGUGGCGAACGGGUGAGUAACGCGUGGGCAAUCUGCCCUCAGAUGGGGACAACAUCCCGAAAGGGGUGCUAAUACCGAAUACGAUCCUUCCACCGCAUGGAGGGGGGAUGAAAGAUGGCCUCUAUAUAUAAGCUAUCGCUGAAGGAUGAGCCUGCGUCUGAUUAGCUUGUUGGUGGGUAACGGCCUACCAAGGCGAUGAUCAGUAGCCGGUCUGAGAGGAUGAACGGCCACAUUGGGACUGAGGCACGGCCCAAACUCCUACGGGAGGCAGCAGUGGGGAAUAUUCCGCAAUGGACGAAAGUCUGACGGAGCAACGCCGCCGUGAGUGAUGAAGGUUUUCGGACUGUAAAGCUCUGUUGUUUGGGACGAAAGUGCCUGUUGCGAACAGUUACGGGUAUUGACGGUACUAAACGAGGAAGCCACGGCUAACUACGUGCCAGCCGCCGC